rnacentral:rRNA from 1 species
UCGACGCAGUUAGUCGGUUCCUAAGGCGAGGCUGAAAAGCGUAGUCGAUGGAAACAGGUUAAUAUUCCUGUACUUCUGGUUACUGCGAUGGAGGACGGAGAAGCUAGGCCAGCUGGCGUUGGUUGUCCAAGUUUAAGGUGGUAGGCUGAAAUCUUAGGUAAAUCCGGGUUUCAAGGCCGAGAGCUGAUGACGAGUCGUCUUUUAGAUGACGAAGUGGUUGAUGCCAUGCUUCAAGAAAAGCUUCUAAGCUUCAGGUAACCAGGAACCGUACCCCAAACCGACACAGGUGGUCGGGUAGAAUACCAAGGCGCUUGAGAGAACUCGGGUGAAGGAACUAGGCAAAAUGGCACCGUAACUUCGGGAGAAGGUGCGCCGGCUAGGUGAAGGAUUUACUCCGUAAGCUCUGGCUGGUCGAAGAUACCAGGCCGCUGCGACUGUUUAAAAACACAGCACUCUGCAAACAACCGAGUGGACGUAUAGGGUGUGACGCCUCCCCGGUGCCGAAGGUUAAUUGAUGGGGUUAGCGCAAGCUCUUGAUCGAAGCCCCGGUAAACGGCGGCCGUAACGAUAACGGUCCUAAGGUAGCGAAAAUUCUUGUCGGGUAAGUUCCGACCUGCACGAAUGGCGUAACGAUGGCGGCGCUGUCUCCACCCGAGACUCAGUGAAAUUGAAAUCGCUGUGAAGAUGCAGUGUAUCCGCGGCUAGACGGAAAGACCCCGUGAACCCUAUACUGUAGCUUUGCACUGGACUUUGAGCCUGCUUGUGUAGGUUGGUGGGAGGCUUUGAAGCGUGGACGCCAGUUCGCGUGGAGCCAUCCUUGAAAUACCACCCUGGCAUGCUUGAGGUUCUAACUCUGGUCCGUAAUCCGGAUCGAGGACAGUGUAUGGUGGGCAGUUUGACUGGGCGGUCUCCUAAAGAGUAACGGAGGAGUACGAAGGUGCGCUCAGACCGGUCGGAAAUCGGUCGCAGAGUAUAAAGGCAAAAGCGCGCUUGACUGCGAGACAGACACGUCGAGCAGGUACGAAAAGUAGGUCUUAGUGAUCCGGUGGUUCUGUAUGGAAGGGCCAUCGCUCAACGGAUAAAAGGUACUCCGGGGUAACAGGCUGAUACCGCCCAAGAGUUCAUAUCGACGGCGGUGUUUGGCACCUCGAUGUGGCUCAUCACAUCCUGGGCUGAAGCCGGUCCCAAGGGUAUGGCUGUUCGCCAUUUAAAGUGGUACGCGAGCUGGGUUUAGAACGUCGUGAGACAGUUCGGUCCCUAUCUGCCGUGGACGUUUGAGAUUUGAGAGGGCUGCUCCUAGUACGAGGGGACCGGAGUGGACGAACCUCUGGUGUUCCGGUUGUCACGCUAGUGGCGGGUAGCUAUGUUCGGAAAAGAUAACCGCUGAAAGCAUCUAAGCGGAACUUUGCUUCAGAUGAGAUCUCACUGGGAACUUGAUUCCCUGAAGGGCCGUCGAAGACUACGACGUUGAUAGGCUGGGUGUGUAGCGUUGUGAGGCGUUGAGCUUAACCAGUACUAAUUGCCCGUGAGGC